rnacentral:snRNA from 1 species
UUUCUUCGGCAGCACAUAUAUUAAAAUUGGAAUGAUACAGAGAAGAUUAGCAUGUCCCCUAUGCAAGGAUGACGUGAAUUCAUGAAACAUUCCAUAUUUUU